rnacentral:tRNA from 1 species
GGGGCUGUGGCUCAGCGGCAGAGUGCUUGCCUCGAAUGUAUGAGGCACUGGGUUCAAUCCUCAGCACCACA